GAGUUUACAAACACAAAACAGCAUGCCGGGCAAAAGCGCAGCGUGUUGCACUCUCAUACUUACUACGUGUAUACCGUUAUGGCCAAGGCCCCAAACAAACCGCAAAUUCAUGAGCGUGCAACUCAGACGGAGACUUUGUGGAUGUGGAAGUUGCAAAAUCGAGAAUCAUUUGCUGGAGCAGCAAAACGUAAUCUACAGCAUCGUCCUCAUCGCGCUGCUUAAUUACGUGGCUCAAUUGCUCGAAAUUAAUCUGUUUCCGUUUUUGUAAUUAAAUGUGGGGAUUUUCACUAUAAGCAGAUCAAGCAGCAGACGACCACUCAAACCUGACCUUAAUUGCAAUUUGUGCAUAAUUUAUAAUUUAUAUAUUUUGUUGUUCUUCAAGUGCCUUC
ensembl:ncRNA lncRNA:CR45945 long non-coding RNA:CR45945